UACGGGGGGGGCAAGCGUUGUUCGGAAUUACUGGGCGUAAAGGGCUCGUAGGCGGCCAACUAAGUCAGACGUGAAAUCCCUCGGCUUAACCGGGGAACUGCAUCUGAUACUGGAUGGCUUGAGUUCGGGAGAGGGAUGCGGAAUUCCGUGGUGUAGCGGUGAAAUGCGCAGAUAAUCAGGAGGAACACCGGUGGCGAAGGCGGGUCUCUGGGCCGAUACUGACGCUGAGGCACGAAAGCGUGGGGAGCAAACAGG
rnacentral:rRNA from 1 species